CCCUUAGAUGUCCUGGGCCGCACGCGCGCUACACUGAGUGUCUGAGAUAUGAGGCAUGCCUGGUCCGGCAAGGUCUAGGUAAUCACGAAAAGGCACAUCAUGCUUGGGAUUGAUUAUUGCAAAUUUUAAUCAUGAACGAGGAAUUCCCAGUAAGCGCAAGUCAUCAGCUUGUGUUGAUUACGUCCCUGCCCUUUGUACACACCGCCCGUCGCUACUACCGAUUGAAUGGUUUAGUGAGACCCUCGGAUUCGUCCCAGCACAGUGGGUUUCUGCUGAGCUGGUGCGCGGAGAAGACGGUCGAACUUGAUCAUUUAGAGGAAGUAAAAGUCGUAACA
rnacentral:rRNA from 1 species